GGUUAAGCGACUAAGCGUACACGGUGGAUGCCCUGGCAGUCAGAGGCGAUGAAGGACGUGCUAAUCUGCGAUAAGCGUCGGUAAGGUGAUAUGAACCGUUAUAACCGGCGAUUUCCGAAUGGGGAAACCCAGUGUGAUUCGUCACACUAUCAUUAACUGAAUCCAUAGGUUAAUGAGGCGAACCGGGGGAACUGAAACAUCUAAGUACCCCGAGGAAAAGAAAUCAACCGAGAUUCCCCCAGUAGCGGCGAGCGAACGGGGAGCAGCCCAGAGCCUGAAUCAGUGUGUGUGUUAGUGGAAGCGUCUGGAAAGGCGCGCGAUACAGGGUGACAGCCCCGUACACAAAAAUGCACAUGCUGUGAGCUCGAUGAGUAGGGCGGGACACGUGGUAUCCUGUCUGAAUAUGGGGGGACCAUCCUCCAAGGCUAAAUACUCCUGACUGACCGAUAGUGAACCAGUACCGUGAGGGAAAGGCGAAAAGAACCCCGGCGAGGGGAGUGAAAAAGAACCUGAAACCGUGUACGUACAAGCAGUGGGAGCACAGAGCAAUCUGUGUGACUGCGUACCUUUUGUAUAAUGGGUCAGCGACUUAUAUUCUGUAGCAAGGUUAACCGAAUAGGGGAGCCGAAGGGAAACCGAGUCUUAACUGGGCGUUAAGUUGCAGGGUAUAGACCCGAAACCCGGUGAUCUAGCCAUGGGCAGGUUGAAGGUUGGGUAACACUAACUGGAGGACCGAACCGACUAAUGUUGAAAAAUUAGCGGAUGACUUGUGGCUGGGGGUGAAAGGCCAAUCAAACCGGGAGAUAGCUGGUUCUCCCCGAAAGCUAUUUAGGUAGCGCCUCGUGAAUUCAUCUCCGGGGGUAGAGCACUGUUUCGGCAAGGGGGUCAUCCCGACUUACCAACCCGAUGCAAACUGCGAAUACCGGAGAAUGUUAUCACGGGAGACACACGGCGGGUGCUAACGUCCGUCGUGAAGAGGGAAACAACCCAGACCGCCAGCUAAGGUCCCAAAGUCAUGGUUAAGUGGGAAACGAUGUGGGAAGGCCCAGACAGCCAGGAUGUUGGCUUAGAAGCAGCCAUCAUUUAAAGAAAGCGUAAUAGCUCACUGGUCGAGUCGGCCUGCGCGGAAGAUGUAACGGGGCUAAACCAUGCACCGAAGCUGCGGCAGCGACACUAUGUGUUGUUGGGUAGGGGAGCGUUCUGUAAGCCUGCGAAGGUGUGCUGUGAGGCAUGCUGGAGGUAUCAGAAGUGCGAAUGCUGACAUAAGUAACGAUAAAGCGGGUGAAAAGCCCGCUCGCCGGAAGACCAAGGGUUCCUGUCCAACGUUAAUCGGGGCAGGGUGAGUCGACCCCUAAGGCGAGGCCGAAAGGCGUAGUCGAUGGGAAACAGGUUAAUAUUCCUGUACUUGGUGUUACUGCGAAGGGGGGACGGAGAAGGCUAUGUUGGCCGGGCGACGGUUGUCCCGGUUUAAGCGUGUAGGCUGGUUUUCCAGGCAAAUCCGGAAAAUCAAGGCUGAGGCGUGAUGACGAGGCACUACGGUGCUGAAGCAACAAAUGCCCUGCUUCCAGGAAAAGCCUCUAAGCAUCAGGUAACAUCAAAUCGUACCCCAAACCGACACAGGUGGUCAGGUAGAGAAUACCAAGGCGCUUGAGAGAACUCGGGUGAAGGAACUAGGCAAAAUGGUGCCGUAACUUCGGGAGAAGGCACGCUGAUAUGUAGGUGAAGUCCCUCGCGGAUGGAGCUGAAAUCAGUCGAAGAUACCAGCUGGCUGCAACUGUUUAUUAAAAACACAGCACUGUGCAAACACGAAAGUGGACGUAUACGGUGUGACGCCUGCCCGGUGCCGGAAGGUUAAUUGAUGGGGUUAGCGCAAGCGAAGCUCUUGAUCGAAGCCCCGGUAAACGGCGGCCGUAACUAUAACGGUCCUAAGGUAGCGAAAUUCCUUGUCGGGUAAGUUCCGACCUGCACGAAUGGCGUAAUGAUGGCCAGGCUGUCUCCACCCGAGACUCAGUGAAAUUGAACUCGCUGUGAAGAUGCAGUGUACCCGCGGCAAGACGGAAAGACCCCGUGAACCUUUACUAUAGCUUGACACUGAACAUUGAGCCUUGAUGUGUAGGAUAGGUGGGAGGCUUUGAAGUGUGGACGCCAGUCUGCAUGGAGCCGACCUUGAAAUACCACCCUUUAAUGUUUGAUGUUCUAACGUUGACCCGUAAUCCGGGUUGCGGACAGUGUCUGGUGGGUAGUUUGACUGGGGCGGUCUCCUCCUAAAGAGUAACGGAGGAGCACGAAGGUUGGCUAAUCCUGGUCGGACAUCAGGAGGUUAGUGCAAUGGCAUAAGCCAGCUUGACUGCGAGCGUGACGGCGCGAGCAGGUGCGAAAGCAGGUCAUAGUGAUCCGGUGGUUCUGAAUGGAAGGGCCAUCGCUCAACGGAUAAAAGGUACUCCGGGGAUAACAGGCUGAUACCGCCCAAGAGUUCAUAUCGACGGCGGUGUUUGGCACCUCGAUGUCGGCUCAUCACAUCCUGGGGCUGAAGUAGGUCCCAAGGGUAUGGCUGUUCGCCAUUUAAAGUGGUACGCGAGCUGGGUUUAGAACGUCGUGAGACAGUUCGGUCCCUAUCUGCCGUGGGCGCUGGAGAACUGAGGGGGGCUGCUCCUAGUACGAGAGGACCGGAGUGGACGCAUCACUGGUGUUCGGGUUGUCAUGCCAAUGGCACUGCCCGGUAGCUAAAUGCGGAAGAGAUAAGUGCUGAAAGCAUCUAAGCACGAAACUUGCCCCGAGAUGAGUUCUCCCUGACUCCUUGAGAGUCCUGAAGGAACGUUGAAGACGACGACGUUGAUAGGCCGGGUGUGUAAGCGCAGCGAUGCGUUGAGCUAACCGGUACUAAUGAACCGUGAGGCUUAACCUU
rnacentral:rRNA from 1 species